GACGAACGCUGGCGGCGUGCUUAACACAUGCAAGUCGAGCGGAAAGGCCCUUCGGGGUACUCGAGCGGCGAACGGGUGAGUAACACGUGAGUAACCUGCCCCAGACUUUGGGAUAACCCUCGGAAACGGGGGCUAAUACCGGAUACGACACAGCUUCGCAUGGGGUCUGUGUGGAAAGUUUUUCGGUUUGGGAUGGGCUCGCGGCCUAUCAGCUUGUUGGUGGGGUGAUGGCCUACCAAGGCGACGACGGGUAGCCGGCCUGAGAGGGCGACCGGCCACACUGGGACUGAGACACGGCCCAGACUCCUACGGGAGGCAGCAGUGGGGAAUAUUGCACAAUGGGCGGAAGCCUGAUGCAGCGACGCCGCGUGAGGGAUGACGGCCUUCGGGUUGUAAACCUCUCUCAGCAGGGACGAAGCGUAAGUGACGGUACCUGCAGAAGAAGCGCCGGCCAACUACGUG
rnacentral:rRNA from 1 species